GGUUCUAAAGUCCCUCCACUGGCUCCCUGCAGCUCAGAGAAUAGACUUUGAAAUACUGCUGUUAGUUUAAAAAUCCCUGAACGGCUU